CUUUGACUAGAGCUGUCAGUGUCAGCAGGGCUUAUUUUUUAUGAACAUAGGACUGCCCUGAAGUAAAAUGAACACAGGACUGACCUGAAGUAAAAUGAACACAGGACUGACCUGAAGGAAAAUGCUAAAUGUGAAUGCAGGAGUUAAAGCCAUGGACGUUAUCUACUUUCAUUAGGCCAGAUAUGAGUUUGGACCGACAUGAGGAUGCUGACGCCAACCUCCACCUCCAUCCUCCCCACCACCACCAGGAUGGUCCCUGUCCAUACUUCCAGGGGGUCGGCUACGCCCCUGCCUUCAGCUUCAGGCAGGAAACGCAAAGUCUGC